AAAGUUUUAAGUUAAAUUUAAACUAAUAGCCUUCAAAGUUGUAAAUAAAAAAAAAUUUUUAAGCUUUA
rnacentral:tRNA from 1 species